GGGAAUGGGCUUGCAGCCUAUGACGUUGAAAGAUAUCAUGGUGGAAACCCAACCUAGCUGAAUGGUGAUCCCAGGAUCUAGGUUCAAAGGGACAACUAAAUCAUGUAUAUCUGUGUGAAUCACUGAGAAGGUUCUCCUUCUGCUCAUUCCUAUGGUGCUCACAGUGAUUGGAAGAUGCAGGUUAAGCUAUGCUUUUAAUGACCAUUAAUCGUUGUUGUGAAAGACUGAGUUAAGAGGUCACCUAUGUGAGUGUGAAGUGGGGCCGCUUCUAUAAGGGUUG
rnacentral:lncRNA from 1 species